GCUAGGCAUGGUGGUGCGUGCCUGUAGUCCCAGAUACUUAGGAGGCUGAGGCAGGAGGAUUGCUUGAGGCCAGGAGUUCCAGGCUGCAGUGAGCCGUGAUUGUGCCGCUGCACUCCAGCCUGGGCAACAGAGCAAGACCGUGUCUCAA
ensembl:misc_RNA Metazoa_SRP Metazoan signal recognition particle RNA